UUUUACGGCCAUACCACCCUGAACGCGCCCGAUCUCGUCUGAUCUCGGAAGCUAAGCAGGGUCGGGCCUGGUUAGUACUUGGAUGGGAGACCGAAAGCCCUUGGACCUUCUGUG
rnacentral:rRNA from 1 species